AUGAACGCCAGCCUGUAUUGCCCUGAGCCGAUAUUACUAGAUUGGGAGAUCUUCCUGAGUUCCGAUGAGCACGCCUAAACUGUUUAAGUUUACUUAGGCAGUCCCUUGAGAAGCCGAGCGAGCCACAGGUUUCCCACCUUGAACUUCCUGGUUCAAGGAGCUUAAUAUGGUAACGUCAU
rnacentral:other from 1 species